rnacentral:rRNA from 1 species
AUUGAACGCUGGCGGCGUGCUUAACACAUGCAAGUCGAACGAGAACGGGUUAUAGCUUGCUAUAAUUGUCAGCUAAGUGGCGCACGGGUGAGUAAUGUAUAGGUAAUAUGCCUCUUACUAAGGGAUAACAAAUGGAAACGUUUGCUAAUACCUUAUACUCCUUAUUAACAGAAGUUAAUAAGGGAAAGAUUUAUUGGUAAGAGAUUAGCCUGUAUUGUAUCAGUUAGUUGGUGGGGUAAUGGCUUACCAAGACUAUGACACAUAACUGGUUUGAGAGGAUGAUCAGUCACACUGGAACUGAGACACGGUCCAGACCCCUACGGGAGGCAGCAGUGGGGAAUAUUGCACAAUGGACGAAAGUCUGAUGCAGCAACGCCGCGUGGAGGAUGACACAUUUCGGUGCGUAAACUCCUUUUAUAUGAGAAGAUAAUGACGGUAUUAUAUGAAUAAGCACCGGCUAACUCCGUGCCAGCCGCCGCAGUAA